CCUACGGGUGGCAGCAGUGGGGGAUAUUGCACAAUGGGGGGACCCCUGAUGCAGCGAAGCCGCGUGGGCGAUGGAGUGCUUCGGCAUGUAAAGCCCUAUCAGCAGGGAAGAAAAUGACGGUACCUGACUAAGAAGCCCCGGAUAAAUACGUGCAAGCAGCCGCGGUAAUACGUAUGGGGCCAGCGUUAUCCGGAUUUAUUGGGUUAAAAGGGGGCGCAGGCGGGCUGUUAAGUCAGCGGUAAAAGCCCGGGGCUCAACCCCGGUCCGCCGUUGAACCUGGCAGUCUCGAGUUGGAGAGAAGUAUGCGGAAUGCGCGGUGUAGCGGUGAAAUGCAUAGAUAUCGCGCAGAACUCCGAUUGCGAAGGCAGCAUGCCGGCUCCACACUGACGCUGAGGCACGAAAGCGUGGGUAUCGAACAGGAUUAGAUACCCUUGUAGUC
rnacentral:rRNA from 1 species